CACGCCGUAAACGAUGAUGACUAACUAUAGCCGUGAGGCUGUGGUGAAGCAAACGCAUUAAGUCAUCCGCCUGGGAAGUACGGUCGCAAGACUGAAACUUAAAGGAAUUGACGGGUCCCCGCACAAGCAGUGGAGCAUGAGGUUUAAUUCGACGCUACGCGAAGAACCUUACCUGGACUUGACAUACCCUGAAUAUCUUAGAGAUAAGAGAAGCCCUUCGGGGCAGGGAUACAGGUGG
rnacentral:rRNA from 1 species